UACGGAGGGGGCUAGCGUUAUUCGGAAUUAUUGGGCGUAAAGGGCGCGUAGGCGGCCCGGUAAGUCAAAGGUGAAAUCCCUCGGCUCAACUGAGGAACUGCCUUUGAAACUGUCGGGCUCGAGGCCGGGAGGGGGUAGCGGAAUUCCCAGUGUAGCGGUGAAAUGCGUAGAUAUUGGGAGGAACACCGGUGGCGAAGGCGGCUACCUGGACCGGUUCUGACGCUGAUGCGCGAAAGCGUGGGGAGCAAACAGG
rnacentral:rRNA from 1 species